AGAUAAAAUAAUUUAUUAAAUGGCGACACAAAAUGCGAUUUUGGGACGGUUACUUUAUCAUCUUCUUCUCGUCGGUUGGACGACGGUUUCCAUCACUUUCGCCGGCGUAGUGGGUGGUUUCUUUUCCA
rnacentral:sRNA from 1 species